rnacentral:rRNA from 1 species
GACGAACGCUGGCGGCGUGCUUAACACAUGCAAGUCGAACGGAAAGGCCCUGCUUUUGUGGGGUGCUCGAGUGGCGAACGGGUGAGUAACACGUGAGUAACCUGCCCUUGACUUUGGGAUAACUUCAGGAAACUGGGGCUAAUACCGGAUAGGGGCUCCUGCUGCAUGGUGGGGGUUGGAAAGUUUCGGCGGUUGGGGAUGGACUCGCGGCUUAUCAGCUUGUUGGUGGGGUAGUGGCUUACCAAGGCUUUGAUGGGUAGCCGGCCUGAGAGGGUGACCGGCCACAUUGGGACUGAGAUACGGCCCAGACUCCUACGGGAGGCAGCAGUGGGGAAUAUUGCACAAUGGGCGGAAGCCUGAUGCAGCAACGCCGCGUGCGGGAUGACGGCCUUCGGGUUGUAAACCGCUUUCGCCUGUGACGAAGCGUGAGUGACGGUAAUGGGUAAAGAAGCACCGGCUAACUACGUG